rnacentral:rRNA from 1 species
UUUAUAGGUGAACCUACGGAAGGAUUACUG